UGGGGUUGUCCCCUGUGGUCUCAGCACCCACAGGACAACCUGCAGGCAGGGCUUGCACCCACACCGCAGCAUUGUGCCUAUCGCCAUAUGGCUGCACUGUGCUCAGGGUGCUGUCCUGGCUGGUGGAAACCCAUUGUGGUUAUGGGGUGUGGGGCUAUUGCAGAACCCCCAGCCCUCCCCAAACCCUGGGGACACCCCAUCCUGUGCUACAGCUUUGAGGAGGUGCCUUGCCCGCCUUCAGCCCAUCAUCACAACCAAACAGCAGCUUUUGUCUGCGCUCAGACAGCAUGGCAGGGUUCUGCUUGGCUCACACUCAAGCUUUCUCCAGCUACAUCUGCACUAGUGCCCAGGUGAAGCCCAACAAAGAGCAAAAGAUGAAGCCCCACCAUCACUAUCCCCAUGCAAUGGCCUCUAUAUCUUUUGCGUCUGGUUUCUUCCAGGACUUGAAACAUGGAAGAGCUGCAUCGUAGUGUCUGUUUUUGUGGUGUUUCCAGCCCAGCUGGAAGCAGGAGGCACUAGAAAAUGGAGAGAUGGGGAGGGGGGGAAAGGAAAGAAAGAAUCAAUCUGGCAGGAGUCCAUCUUCCUACUGAAUCCACCGAACCCGGGAUGCUCACGCCUUGCUUAUCCCAACCCAUCCCCUUGUGCCCAAAUGGCUUUGGGGAUGUUACACAAAGCACGGCCCCUCUGCUGGCGUCGAGGCCGGGUGGGUAACACCAUCCUUGCAUUUAUUUCACCUAUUUCCUCUGGUUGCGAAUUGUCCGGGAGCAGAUGGUGAUUUUCUCAAGUGUAUCCGUUAUUCGAAGUCGCUCACCGAGACAGGGAUGGCUCACACAAACCCGGCCCCCCUGCAAAGCCAUCAUUUGGUCUUUCCAUCUGCCCAGCCGCUGCGUUCGCUGUGGGUUUCAGCCAGCUCUGUGGGGCAGAGCAGGACGGUGCAGCCCUACAUGAUCAUCCCCUUAACUAUGGGACACAGAGCCGUGACUGCCAGGGCAGCUUGGGGGUGGAAAGCGAUCCCUGGAGCUGGGGGGACCCUCUCCUUAUGAGCCCCUGAAUGGGCUCCCAGGCCCAUCUGCUGCCACAUUCUGGCUGCGUUUUUCCAUUUUCCAUUCCCAGUCCUCUCCUUCUCCCCUCUGGAAAAGCAGCCAUGGGGCUGGGAGCUGCCUUGUAACCGGAGCCCAUCGGGACCCCCUGCGCAGCCCCACGCCAGGAAUGUUGCACCAAGGGGGGCUGCCAAGGGCUGACAAAGGGGGAACUGCUUUGAAAUGCAGCUUGCUCUCCCCCCCUGUGGGUUAAACAAACACCCCCCGGCUCAGGGGGUGCCUCCCCGCAUCCCACAGCCUUUUGUUGACAAGCUUUUGUCUGGGGUGUAGAGAAAGGGCUGGGACCCCCCAACCUCCCCCAGGACACACAUGUGGAUGGGGUCUGGGAUGCUGAGUGUGGGGCUGAGAGUGGCUCAGUGCCCCAUCAUAGGGCCUGGGUACAGCCCCUAAGCCCUGCAGCCUGCUGUCCCUUCUGUCCCUGUGUCCCAACCCCAUGGCAUCUCACCAUUGGUGCAGCCUUUGGGUCUCUACUGCGUGCCAGUAUCCAGCAUCCAGCCCCCAUAUGGGGGGACCCAAACCCAAAGCUUGGGGGUGUGGCAGAGCCCACUGUCCCCAGAACCCCAUUAAGGGACUUGUUAUUUUGCAUCCCCAAAGGCACUUCAUGCAGUUUCCUUCCAGGGAAAAUAGCUGGGGGAAAAGCCUUGGAAACCAGAUCCAAACUGCCCUGACCCCCCCACGGCACGAAGGCAACAGAAGCCCCCAACUGCUGCCCACAUCCCCCCAUGGUGCCUUAAAGGUGGGAGAUGCCCUCAGACACCACAACCAGCGGGGCCGCAAUGGGAAGGUUGGGUUGGGGUUGGGCAUCCAGCUGCUUUUUGGGGUGGGUGCAUGGGGGGAACCCCAUGGGGGCACUCAGCCCUUCUCUGUCCAUGGGGCGGCCGCGGGUGUGUGCAGUGCUGGGCUGUGUCCCCGGGGAGCAGCAGCCCCGCAGCCCCGCGCCGCGCUCGUCACCCAGACAAGAGAUCAAUAACUAAUUUCACUGCAGCAGCAGCGCGGGGUUUUUUUCCAAUAAUUGUGAGCUGGUGGUUGGGAAUGAGGCUCUCAGCACCGCUCCACACUAACCUGCGCCCGAUCAAUCGCCGCACCGCUGGGGCAGCAGGAAAACUCAUUUUUCUCCUUUUCUUUCCUCUCUGCCUCCUCCUCCUCUCACUGCUCCAUCCCUGGGCACAGCGGUUCCGGCUCCGUCCCUUCACACAGGGGGUUGUGCUGUGUGUCCCAUCCUGAUGCUGUGAUCCCAUUUCCUAUGGGACAGACCCCGUGCCAAGCAUAGGGUGCAGCAUCUGUCCUCAUCCAGGAGCGCUGUGGGGCUGUGCCUAUGGAGCUGUGCCUUUCGGUCACCAGCUGGUGCCUUUGUGUUGCCCAGAUAUGUUCAGUGAUGCGGUAGAUCUUUGGGAUGCUGUGGGGUCGGUCUGAUGCUGGGUGUGAGCCUCGCUGGGUUCCUCCCUUCUUCUCCAUCUCUUCAGCAUCUGAGAUCCUGCAGUGCCUCAGUUUCCCCACUCAUAUCUCUAACAGCUUGGCACAGCUCUCUGAUCUACCCAUGGGCUCUGUGCUCCAGUCCCCAUCUCAUGGGACAUGGUGCAGGGCUCAGUGCUGGGCUCUCAUGCCAAUCUUUGGAGUCCCAACCUCUCAAAGGCACUGAGGAGCAGUGCAACAUGCAGCAUCCCUUCCUGUGUGCUUUGUCCCAGCUUGGAGACAUUCCCAAUGGAUGCACAGAGCCCACCCUGAGCCCCAUCCCCUCCAUCACCCCAUCACCAUGGUGAGGUAUUUCCACGUCCUUCUGGUGAACCAGCUCAUGUCUCCCAUGGUUAAUACUUGCCUUACCCCUCAUGCACACAUUGAUUUGUAUUAGCAUCAUGCCCUGGCCACGGUGCUCAGGAACACAGGGUGCUUGCAGGGCUCCCCCCAUGAGCAGCAGUGUGCCCCAGCCAUGGCUAAGGUCAUCCUUCAUGGCUUUCCCAGCAGCACUGGGGCCACCAUCCUUCCUCUCCCAUUUAAUCCCAUGAAUUAAACACCGCCUUCACCGCGGAGUGUCGAGCGGUGCCGGCGUAAUGUCCAAGUUUUAUGACUUGCCUUGAAGGCACCUAUUGAUUGGGGCCCUCUCUGGAUGAUGGAGCUUUUAGUGCAUCCUGGGCUGUCCGAGCAGGGCUGGAUCCUCAGCCCAUGGGGCUCAGUGAUGCUGUGCUGUCACAUCCCAGUGCCCCAUCUCCAUAGAUCCCAGGGGGGAGGCAGCAGGCGGGGCCCUCAGUGCCCACACGGCGCCUUUAAGAAGCCCACAACCAGCUCCAGGAACACGAGCUCAAGGUCACAGUGGGAAACCUGCGGACUUGGCAGCGAGGAGAGGAGAGCGGGCGGAGGGAAGGAGGAGGGAGGAGGGAAACAGCCGGGGAUAAAACCCACAUUCUGGCAGGGAAGAGGGGACGGAGGGGAGCAGGGAGGUGGGGUGCAGGCGGUCCCACCCAGGGGUGCCCAACUAUGGCACCUUGAGGCCAUAGACCCCUGUGCCCAGAUGCCCUCUGUGAGGUUUGGGGUUACCCAAGGCACUGGGAAUGAGGCGGCUGCUCCUGGUCUGGGUUUGGAGAUGCCCGAUUUUAAUUUUCAUCAGCAGAAUUAAUCUGUGGAGCUGUUCCCCCCCUCCUUCCCUCCCCUCCCUCCCCUUCCUUUCCUCGCUGGUUUCGAUGGAGAAUUUGAUCACUUCUCCCAGGAGCUCGGCACCAUUAACAUUCACUCCUGGCACACGCGAGCUGCGCUGCAUCGCCAAGCGCAUCGCCGGCUGUGGGAUAUGGGCUGUGGGCACCACGACCCCUGAAAAUGAAGGGUAGGACCAGGCAGUGCUGCCCUUCCCCUGCUUACAACCAGCCUUGGGCUCAGACUUGGAGGUGUCCAGAGGGUCUUGGCCUCAGGGUUUGCUCUGCAGCUGCUGGGACACGUGGGGCUGUUCAAUACAGUGAAAGCCAGAAGGUGCUCCGGGGGUAGGAUCCAAACCUUGCACCAUUUCACAUUUUAAGGGUUGCAAACUGGUCACCCUGAGCUACCCCAGAGUUGCUUAAAGUUGUGGACUUUGUGUCUUUUUUUCUUUAAUAAAGGUUAAUGAAGAAUUAA